rnacentral:rRNA from 1 species
CGCGAUUCGCCCUUCGGGGUGCCCAGGCGCGAAAACUCCACAAUGUACGACAGUACGAUGGGGUUAUCUCGAGUGCAGUCCGAUAAGGGCUGCUUUUCCAUAGAGUAAUAUCCUGUGGGAAUAAGAGGGGGGCAAGACUGGUGUCAGCCGCCGCGGUAACACCAGCCCCUCGAGUGGUGGGGACUAUUAUUUGGUCUAAAGCGUCCGUAGCUGGCUGUAUCCGUCCCCCGUUAAAUCCAGCGUCCUAAGCGUUGGACUGCGGGUGAUACCAUACAGCUAGAGGGUGGGAUAGGUGAGCGGUAUUUCUGGGGUAGGGGCGAAAUCCUUUGAUCCCAGGAGGACCACCAGUGGCGAAGGCUGCUCACUAGAACACGCCUGACGGUCAGGGACGAAAGCUGGGGCAGCGAACCGGAUUAGAUACCCGGGUAGUCCCAGCUGUAAACGAUGCCAGUCUAGGUGUUGGGUCGGCCACGCGCCGCCCCAGUGCCGCAGGGAAGCCGUUAAGCUGGCCACCUGGGGAGUACGGCCGCAAGGCUGAAACUUAAAGGAAUUGGCGGGGGAGCAC